rnacentral:rRNA from 1 species
UAGCGGAGCGUGUGGUUUAAUUCGAUGCAACGCGAAGGACCUUACCAAGAUUUGACAUGCUAAAAGUAGAAGCUUGAAAGAGGGACGACCUGUAUCCAGUCAGGAGUUAGCACAGGUGCUGCAUGGCUGUCGUCAGCUCGUGCCGUGAGGUGUUAGGUUAAGUCCUGCAACGAGCGCAACCCUCGUCGCUAGUUAAUUUCUCUAGCGAUACUGCCCGUAUAACGCGGAGGAAGGUGGGGAUGACGUCAAGUCAGCACGGCCCUUACAUCUUGGGCGACACACACGCUACAAUGGGUGAUACAGCGGGUUGCCAAGGAGCGAUCCGGAGCUAAUCCCUAAAAUCAUCCUCAGUUCAGAUUGUAGGCUGCAACCGCCUAUAUGAAGUCGGAGUUGCUAGUAACCGCAUAA